UAGGGAGACUGCCGAGCUAGAGGGUGGGAGAGGUCAGCGGUAUUCCUGGGGUAGGGGCGAAAUCCUUUGAUCCCAGGAGGACCACCAGUGGCGAAGGCUGCUGACUAGAACACGCCUGACGGUGAGGGACGAAAGCUGGGGGAGCGAAUCGGAUUAGAUACCCGAGUAGUCCCAGCCGUAAACGAUGCAGGCUAGGUGUUGGGGCGGCCACGGGCCGCCUCAGUGCCACAGGGAAGCCAUUAAGCCUGCCGCCUGGGGAGUACGGCCGCAAGGCUGAAACUUAAAGGAAUUGGCGGGGGAGCACCACCAGGCGUGAAGCCUGCGGUUUAAUUGGAGUCAACGCCGGGAACCUUACCGGGAGCGACAGCAGGGUGAAGGCCAGGCUGAAGGUCUUGCCGGACGAGCUGAGAGGAGGUGCAUGGCCGUCGCCAGUUCGUGCCGUGAGGUGUCCUCUUAAGUGAGGUAACGAACGAGACCCGCGCCCCUUGUUGCCACCAAAUCCUAAAGGGAUGUUGGGCACUCU
rnacentral:rRNA from 1 species